rnacentral:piRNA from 1 species
UAGUCUGAGGUGGGAUGCUGAGGGCUA